GGGCGCUUGGUCUAGGGGUAUGAUUUUCGCUUCGCAUCCCAUUGCGUAACCUGUGAAAGGUCGUGGGUUCAAUUCCCACAGCGUCCA
rfam:Baudoinia panamericana TAMH 10762 unplaced genomic scaffold BATCOscaffold_12, whole genome shotgun sequence.